UUUCUAGAGAGUGAGAAUGAAAGGAGGGUCUUUCCUUUUCUUGGGGUUUAAACAGAGUGGUUUUAGGGUUUUGGGGUCUGUUUUUUGUGGCUUUGGGCUCAAAGUGAAGAGCUUGUUGUGGGUUAAAAGCUAAGGUUGACCACAAGCUUGGACGGAUAAAGAAAUUUAGGAUUUUAUUCUUCCUGCUCCUGCAAAUUACAGAGAAAAAACUCAGCAUGCCUGCUCACCGCAGGCUGCCUCCUACACAUCACACAGAUCAUACCCCGCUUUUCUUGAAGGUUUUUACCAUUUCAGUAGAUUUGGG
rnacentral:lncRNA from 1 species